GACGAACGCUGGCGGCGUGCUUAACACAUGCAAGUCGAACGGAAAGGCCCUGCUUUUGUGGGGUUCUCGAGUGGCGAACGGGUGAGUAACACGUGAGUAACCUGCCCUUGACUUUGUGAUAACUUCAGGAAACUGGGGCUAAUACCGGAUAGGAGCUCCUGCUGCAUGGUGGGCGUUGGAAAGUUUCGGCGGUUGGGGAUGUACUCGCGGCUUAUCAGCUUGUUGGUGGGGUAGUGGCUUACCAAGGCUUUGAAGGGUAGCCGGCCUGGGAGGGUGACCGGCCACAUUGGGACUGAGGUACGGCCCAGACUCCUACGGGAGGCAGCAGGGGGGAAUAUUGCACAAUGGGCGGAAGCCUGAUGCAGCAACGCCGCGUGCGGGAUGACGGGCUUCGGGUUGUAAACCGCUUUCGCCUGUGACGAAGCGUGAGUGACGGUAAUGGGUAAAGAAGCACCGGCUAACUACGUG
rnacentral:rRNA from 1 species